rnacentral:rRNA from 1 species
CCAAUAGCGUAUAUUAAAGUUGUUGCAGUUAAAAAGCUCGUAGUUGAAUUUCGGGAUCAAUAUAUUGGUCAUGCUUAGGUAUGUACUGGUAUUAUUGAUUUCUCCCUUCUGAAGAACCAUAAUGUCAUUAAUUUGAUGUCAUGGGGAAUCAGGACUGUUACUUUGAAAAAAUUAGAGUGUUUAAAGCAGGCUUUCGCUUG